rnacentral:rRNA from 1 species
UACAAGUACCGUGAGGGAAAGUUGCAAAGAACUUUGAAGAGAGAGUUCAAGAGAACGUGAAAUCCUAGCGGUGGAAGCGGAGAGAGUUGAUGUAGCUCGGUGGCUAAGCAUUCUGGUUGCCGCUUCGGUGGCGAUCGGUUUGUGGUGUCCGCUUAUAGCUGCGCCGACAGCGUUGUCCGAGUUCUCUGACCUGGCUUGUGUUGCCCACUUCGGUGGUGUCUUGCAGCCGGCGAGGUUUACCGUGUUAACGUUUAGCUUGCCGCAAGGUGAGUGUCGGUGUGAAAGUCAGCCACCUUUCCGUCCCGUCUUGAAACACGGACCGAGGAGUGUAACUUGUACGCGAGUCAGAGGGUGGUAAACCCAACGGCGCAAUGAAAGUAAAGGUCGGUUUACCGGCUGACAUGGGAUCCGCGUAAGCGGCGCACCAUGGCCCUGUCUUGAGAGCUUGCUCUUGGGCAGAGGAAGAGCGUACAGGUUGCGACCCGAAAGAUGGUGAACUAUACUUGAGCAGGACGAAGUCAGAGGAAACUCUGAUGGAAGUCCGUAUCGGUUCUGACGUGCAAAUCGAUCGAUAGACUUGAGUAUAGGGGCGAAAGACUAAUCGAACCAUCUAGUAGCUGGUUCCUUCGCAA